CAGGGAGACAACAAAAUGUUUAAUAUUAUUAUUUUGUCACCUUAGGUCGAUCGGUAUCUCACGUUCUUAAUUUGUUAAGAAUUUCAUUUCCUAAGUUUUUCUAGGUCACACCCAUUAUUUUUCCUGGGCCAUUAGCUCAGGUGGUUAGAGCGCACCCCUGAUAAGGGUGAGGUCCCUGGUUCAAGUCCAGGAUGGCCCAUAUCUCUAUGUUGGGGGUAUAGCUCAGUUGGUAGAGCGCCUGCUUUGCAAGCAGGAUGUCAGCGGUUCGAGUCCGCUUACCUCCACUGAUUACCACCUCUUCCAUAACCGGUAGAAAGGAAAUGUUUUGAGUAGUGAUCAUUAUUCUGAACGAAUCUAGCUUCCUAAUGAAAUCAUUAAGAUGCUGGAUUCAUUGAAUUAAUUUCAUUGUUUUCAGAGAACCUUGACAACUGCAUAGAUUUUUUAAAGACAAUAAGCAUCUUUAAUGAUGCAGAUUUAUUAUUUGUGCGAAUGCAUUAAUAACAAUUCUAUUAAGCUGAUGCUUCAAUUUUUGAAGUUAUU
rnacentral:tRNA from 1 species